AUGUGAAUUAUGUUCUGUUGUUCUUAUCGUUAUAACAAUACCACUCUGUAGCUUUAUAUUAAGUUUUGAGUUCAGGUAGUAUAAAUCAUCCAGCUUUGUUCUUUUCUUUCAAAAUUAUUUUACCUAUCUUAGGUCCUUUGUAUUUUCAUAUGAAUUUUAGGAUUAUUUCAUCCUCAUUGGUGCUGCUCACCAUGCCCAUUGCACCGUGACCAGGUCAUAGUAGGAACUAUCUACAUCUGAAAAAAGCUUUUCCAUGGAACUGGGGUUUUUAUUCUCCAGAUUUUCAAAUAUCUUAUCUAGCAAUUUUUGAAAACUUCCUCUAUUUGCUUGAGGGCUAUCCAUUUCUUAGAUGCUGCUCUGUGGGUUCCUCGAUUACUGUGCUGAGGUGACCAGGGAAAGUUCAGAAACUAGGCCCUGUUUCCCCAAGCUGUCUCCCAAGCCAGGAACAGGGUACAUCCCCUCCUGCUCCCAGUUAGUGGCUCAGGGAGCUCUUCCCACUUAGUGGCUCAGGAUCUCUGCAGAGACCAGGUGGUCUAGAAGCACUUGCCCUUCACCCUGGGGCACCGCCAUCCACCAUUUUCCAUCCUGGGUCAUCUCUCUUGAAUCUGUAGGACAGUGUUGGUUAUGAGGACCCAGUGGCAGAGGUUGGGCUGGACCAGCAUGUGGCAGAGCUGUAGCUUAACUAGGGACAUGUCCAGAAGUGACUGUCAUUGAAGAUUAUAGAAAGGGACAGUCUCAAAACUGAUCAGGGCUCCUUUCAUGUCUUCCUUGUAGUCAACGCAUUUCCUCUUUAAUCCUUGAGCAAACAUUGUGUCAUGUGUCAUGAUGGUUGCCUGCCCAGCCCAGUCCACUGUCAUCGUCCCACUCACCACCACCGAGUAGGGUGUGACAUCUGGCCAGCACAGGGUGGAGAAGAUCUAUUCAGAUUUUUUGUAUUUCCUGUUAAGCCUGUUUUGGAAAUUUAUGUAUUUUCUAGGAAUUCGUCUCUUUUAUUCACGUUAUCUAAUAUGUUGACAUAAAGUUGUUCAUAAUAGUCCCUUAAAAUCCUUUCAAUUUUUGUAGUGUCAGUAGUGAUGUCCUCUCUUUCAUUCCUAAUUUUGGAAACCUAUCUUCUUUUUUUGUUUUGUUUAGUUAGUGUACUUAAAGGUUUGUCAAUUUUGUUAAUCUGUUUAAAAUACAUACUUUUAUCUUGAUUUUCUUUAUUGUUGUCAUUUUCCAUUUCCUUUGUUUGUGCUAUGAUUUCUAAUUUCCUCCCUAUUUCUUUUUUUCUACUUGCUUUGAGUUUACUUUUUGAGAUGGAAGCUUAAGUUAUUUGGUUGAAACCUUUAUUUUUUCUAAUAUAGAUUUUUAAAGCUAUAAAUUGCCCUCCCUGUACUACUUUAGCUGUACCAC
rnacentral:lncRNA from 10 species